UACCGCGGUCUCAAGCGUUGUUCGGAUUCAUUGGGCGUAAAGGGUGUGUAGGUGGCGCCGUAAGUCGGGUGUGAAAUUUCGGAGCUUAACUCCGAAACUGCAUUCGAUACUGCGGUGCUUGAGGACUGGAGAGGAGACUGGAAUUCAUGGUGUAGCAGUGAAAUGCGUAGAGAUCAUGAGGAAGACCAGUGGCGAAGGCGGGUCUCUGGACAGUUCCUGACACUGAGACACGAAGGCCAGGGGAGCAAACGGG
rnacentral:rRNA from 1 species